rnacentral:lncRNA from 1 species
AUUAUUCAAACAUUGUCCAAACACACAGUGACAACUCAAAUAGGCUGAUAGUAAAAUACUUGUCUUCAAUCUUAUUGCAUUAAAAAUAAUCUGUAGUAGACUACACAUUGGCAACUCAAAUAGUCUCAUAGUAGUACUCUUGUCCUAAAGUCUUAUUACAUCACAACCAAAGUUGCAUAAAUAAAGGUCGUAUCAUAUUUCAAAAUUUCAAUGCACUUCCAACAGUACAUGCACUAGUAAUUGGAGACCCAGCCGCAUGUCCACAUGAGCACACUUGGCUCCAAAUUAGUCUUCAGUAAUGAUGGACUCAUUUUCAUCCUGACAUAAAAAGCAAAGCAUUAAAAUAAACAAGUUACUUCUGAAUGCACAUCCAUAAAGGACAAAAACCUGACAUCUAAUCAAGUCCGACCAUCAACCACACAUUCACAAGUAUAUAUCUUAAACAAGCAGUGCACUGCGAACACAUCACUUGUUAUUUAAACAUAUAAAACAUUCCCAACAUAAUAAAUUGAGAUGAGAACAAGGAGUUACCAUCACUUCUUCUUCAUCCUCAAGAACAGAUUGAACUGCUUGCAGAGCAAAGUUCAUAUCACCUAAUGCAAAGAUGAAGCAAAAAAAUUAUGCAUAGCACGACGAAACAGAAUACAAAUUGAUAAUUAAAAAUAUUACCUAACAUGUCCGCUCGUGACCAAGCUUGCAUACACAUAAGAGCUUCAGCUAUGCUUGGUGUAAGCCGACUGCGAUGUGCACUAAGUAACCUCCC